UACAGAGGUCCCAAGCGUUGUUCGGAUUCAUUGGGCGUAAAGGGUGCGUAGGUGGCGCCGUAAGUGGGGGUGUGAAAUUUCGGAGCUUAACUCCGAAACUGCAUUCCAUACUGCGGUGCUUGAGGACUGGAGAGGAGACUGGAAUUUACGGUGUAGCAGUGAAAUGCGUAGAUAUCGUAAGGAAGACCAGUGGCGAAGGCGGGUCUCUGGACAGUUCCUGACGCUGAGGCACGAAGGUCAGGGGAGCAAACGGG
rnacentral:rRNA from 1 species